rnacentral:rRNA from 1 species
GGCAGGCCUAACACAUGCAAGUCGAGGGGUAACGAUGGCUUCGGCCAGGCGACGACCGGCGCACGGGUGAGUAUCGCGUUUGUAACCUACCUCUGACUGGAGGAUAGCCCGAAGAAAUUCGGAUUAAUACUCCAUAAUACUAUGGACAGGCAUCUGUUCAUGGUUAAAGCCCCGGCGGUCAGAGAUGGGCAUGCGUGACAUUAGCUUGUUGGUGAGGUAACAGCUCACCAAGGCUACGAUGUCUAGGGGGUCUGAGAGGAUGGUCCCCCACACUGGUACUGAGACACGGACCAGACUCCUACGGGAGGCAGCAGUGAGGAAUAUUGGUCAAUGGGCGAAAGCCUGAACCAGCCAUGCCGCGUGAAGGAUGACAGCCCUAUGGGUUGUAAACUUCUUUUGUACGGGAAGAAACGCCUCUACGUGUAGAGGUUUGACGGUACCGUACGAAUAAGCAUCGGCUAACUCCGUGCCAGCAGCCGCGGUAAUACGGAGGAUGCAAGCGUUAUCCGGAUUUAUUGGGUUUAAAGGGUACGUAGGCGGGAGCUUAAGUCAGUGGUGAAAUCCUGCAGCUUAACUGUAGAACUGUCAUUGAUACUGGGCUUCUUGAAUGUAGUUGAGGUAGGCGGAAUGUGUAAUGUAGCGGUGAAAUGCUUAGAUAUUACACAGAACACCGAUUGCGAAGGCAGCUUACUAAACUACGAUUGACGCUGAGGUACGAAAGCGUGGGGAGCGAACAGGAUUAGAUACCCUGGUAGUCCACGCUGUAAACGAUGAUCACUCGUUGUUGGCAAUACACCGUCAGCGACUGAGCGAAAGCAUUAAGUGAUCCACCUGGGGAGUACGACCGCAAGGUUGAAACUCAAAGGAAUUGACGGGGGCCCGCACAAGCGGAGGAACAUGUGGUUUAAUUCGAUGAUACGCGAGGAACCUUACACUGGGCUUAAANNUNGUA